rnacentral:rRNA from 1 species
GACGAACGCUGGCGGCGUGCUUAACACAUGCAAGUCGUACGGAAAGGCCCUGCUUUUGCGGGGUGCUCGAGUGGCGAACGGGUGAGUAACACGUGAGUAACCUGCCCUUGACUUUGGGAUAACUUCAGGAAACUGGGGCUAAUACCGGAUAGGAGCUCCUGCUGCAUGGUGGGGGUUGGAAAGUUUCGGCGGUUGGGGAUGGACUCGCGGCUUAUCAGCUUGUUGGUGGGGUAGUGGCUUACCAAGGCUUUGACGGGUAGCCGGCCUGAGAGGGUGACCGGCCACAUUGGGACUGAGAUACGGCCCAGACUCCUACGGGAGGCAGCAGUGGGGAAUAUUGCACAAUGGGCGGAAGCCUGAUGCAGCAACGCCGCGUGCGGGAUGACGGCCUUCGGGUUGUAAACCGCUUUCGCCUGUGACGAAGCGUGAGUGACGGUAAUGGGUAAAGAAGCACCGGCUAACUACGUG